GCCUGGCCUUGAAUGCCACAUUACUUUUACAGCCAACUUACUGUUUUUGUCCUGUUUUAGACAGAGGGAAGCAGUGGCACGAAGACUGUGUAUUAAUGAAUAUAAGAUCAGUUUGCAGCCAUAGGCUACCUUAGCAAUAAAUAAUGAUGUGGGACAGCUUGUCACUAUUAUGUGGAAGUACAGAUGAACAAGAUGCAUCACAUCAUAUAGAAGUCUUUUUUUGAAAAUCUGAUUCUUACUGAAGAGAGAGAUUGUGUGACACACGCCACCUUUGAUAGAAUUCAGUGGGAGAGGAGACUCUUAUGUGAAUGCUCUGAAAUUUCUUUCCCUAUAACAAGAACAAGUUUUCAACAUUUUUCCCUUUCCAACGUCAUUACAAUGUUAUCUACAGUCCUCCAAGAUUCAAAGUCGUCUUCAGUGCGUUGGCUCAGAAGCAUAUGAACUUUGUCAAGGGUGGAGAGAGAUGGAAAGAAGGAAAGAUUUUGGCAGAAUUGAUUCUUCAAAAUUUCCCCUUGUGCUAAUUAGAGAACAUGAUGGAGAUGGAAUGCCAUGACUGAAUGGUUUUGUUUAGCUCUAAAAAUUCAAUUAAAAUAAAUAUUAAUUUCUAAA
rnacentral:lncRNA from 1 species